AGACUUACCUGGCAUGGGAGAUACCAAGAUCAUGAAGGUGGUUUUCCCAGGAUAAGGCUCACUCAUUGCACUCCAAGGGUGCUGACUCCUGUGAUUUCCCCAAAUGCUGGACACUAAACUGCAUAAUUUGUGAAAAUAAGGGACUGCAUUCAUGCUCUCCUCUG